GGGGGUAUAGUUUAAGUGGUAUAACAUAUGUUUUGCAUACAUAAAACACAGGUUCGAAUCCUGUUAUCUCCA
rnacentral:tRNA from 1 species